rnacentral:rRNA from 1 species
GACGAACGCUGGCGGCGUGCCUAAUACAUGCAAGUAGGACGCAGUUGCGAACGGGUGAGUAACGCGUAGGUAACUGCCUAUUAGAGGGGGAUAACUAUUGGAAACGAUAGCUAAUACCGCAUACUAGUAGAUGGACCUGCGUUGUAUUAGCUAGUAGGUAGGGUAAUGGCCUACCUAGGCGACGAUACAUAGCCGACCUGAGAGAGUGAUCGGCCACAGCGGGAGGUGGGCACGGCCCAGACUCCUGCGGAAGUCAGCAGAAGGGAAUCGUCGGUAAUGGGCGGAACCCUGACCGAGCAACUGCGCGUGAGUGAAGAAGGUUUUCGGAUCGUAAAGCUCUGUAGUUAAGGAAGCGGUACUUAACCAGAAAGGGACGGCUAAAUACGUGCCAGCAGCCGCGGUAAUUC